CGGGGUGUGGCUCAGGUGGUAGAGCGCUUGGUUCGGGACCAAGAGGCCGCUGGUUCAAGUCCAGUCACUCCGACCA
rnacentral:tRNA from 5 species